rnacentral:rRNA from 1 species
CAGCCGCCGCGGUAACACGAAGGGGGCUAGCGUUGCUCGGAAUUACUGGGCGUAAAGGGAGCGUAGGCGGACAUUUAAGUCAGGGGUGAAAUCCCAGAGCUCAACUCUGGAACUGCCUUUGAUACUGGGUGUCUUGAGUGUGAUAGAGGUAUGUGGAACUCCGAGUGUAGAGGUGAAAUUCGUAGAUAUUCGGAAGAACACCAGUGGCGAAGGCGACAUACUAGAUCAUUACUGACGCUGAGGCUCGAAAGCGUGGGGAGCAAACAGGAUUAGAUACCCCAGUAGUCCCUGUCUCUUAUAU